rnacentral:rRNA from 1 species
AGCGAACGCUGGCGGCAGGCCUAACACAUGCAAGUCGAACGAAGUCUUCGGACUUAGUGGCGGACGGGUGAGUAACACGUGGGAACGUGCCUUUAGGUUCGGAAUAACUCAGGGAAACUUGUGCUAAUACCGAAUGUGCCCUUCGGGGGAAAGAUUUAUCGCCUUUAGAGCGGCCCGCGUCUGAUUAGCUAGUUGGUGAGGUAAAGGCUCACCAAGGCGACGAUCAGUAGCUGGUCUGAGAGGAUGAUCAGCCACAUUGGGACUGAGACACGGCCCAAACUCCUACGGGAGGCAGCAGUGGGGAAUCUUGCGCAAUGGGCGAAAGCCUGACGCAGCCAUGCCGCGUGAAUGAUGAAGGUCUUAGGAUUGUAAAAUUCUUUCACCGGGGACGGUAAUGACGGUAACCGGAGAAGAAGCCCCGGCUAGCUUCGUGCCAGCCGCCGCUGUAACAC